CUAUUAGUGAAGAUCCGUUCGGCAGAGUAGCUGUUGACAUUAUAGUUGCACAGGCACUUUGGUGAUAGCGACUUUGCAUUCGGAUGUCUGCCCUAUCAACUUUCGAUGCCACUUUCUGCGCCUACCAUGGUGACAACGGGUAAUGGGGAAUCAGGGUUUGAUUCCGGAGAGGCAGCCUGAGAAAUGGAUACCACAUCCAAAGAAGGCA